CCACUUAUGAGUGAGUAUAUGUUUAAAAAGCACUUACGAGUGAGUAUAUAUCUGCGGCCCAAACUGGGGCCCUCUCAGAGCGGGGAGGUGAGUUCCCAGAGAGCAGGGCUCCACACAUGGGCAGACUGGGCAGGAGAGGCCCUGAGUGGCCUGAUGCCUCCCUCACCGGAGCUUGGAAUAGACUCAUGG
rnacentral:lncRNA from 1 species